GGAGAGGUGGCAGAGUGGUCGAAUGCAGUAGUCUUGAAAACUACCGUACCGCAAGGUACCGUGGGUUCGAAUCCCACCCUCUCCGCCA
rnacentral:tRNA from 1 species